UACGUAGGGUGCAAGCGUUAAUCGGAAUUACUGGGCGUAAAGGGCGCGUAGGCGGACAGUUUAGUCAGAGGUGAAAGCCCAGGGCUCAACCUUGGAAUUGCCCUUGAUACUGGCUGUCUUGAGUUCGGGAGAGGUGAGUGGAGUGCCGAGUGUAGAGGUGAAAUUCGUAGAUAUUCGGCGGAACACCAGUGGCGAAGGCGGCUCACUGGCCCGAUACUGACGCUGAGGCGCGCAAGCGUGGGGAGCAAACAGG
rnacentral:rRNA from 1 species